AUAUAUAUAUAUAUAUCUUUUGCUUUAUCAUUUUAAAUCACAAGACUUUUAUAUCAUACAGUGUACAUUAUUAACCGGUAUACUCACUGGGUGGAUCUCGGUAAGCUCCGUAGCUCCCUAGGUGGGGAAUCAGUAUAUAGUGUACACGAGUUGAGGCACUGCUAAGGACUACACAUUGUUAAAAAGGAUAAACCAACAUGAAGAUUAGAGAGCUGUCUAUGGGAGAAGCGCAAGCCAUUUUGAAGGACCCUGGCUCACUGCACAGUGGGAAACUGGAGCUGACACAGUUUCACGGCAACAUGACUACAUACUCGCAAUGUAAAACGUCACCACUGCCAUUUAUCCAAAAAUAUGUCAGGUGUUUCUUUUUACCCAGGUGUGUCCUGUUAGAUUGAUUGUUUAAACAAUAAAUGUCUCAGAAUGUCUACUCUUGGUUUUAGCCUUUAGUUUCACCUUGGAAGAACGCAUUUGUUGUUAAAAAGGAUAAACAAACAUGAAGAUCCGAGAGCUGUCUAUGGGAGAAAAGCAAGCCGUUUUGAAGCUGAGAAAAGAAGGAAAAUCAAUCAGAGGCAUUGUAAGACUGAUCUGUUCCUAUACUUUUUCUUGCCUAAAAAUUGAGUGGUCUGAUACAAAAAAAAAAAGUUUCAUGUUGUUUAACACAUCUAGAUGUAAAUACCAGGAAAUAAAAGCUGAAAUCCUAAACUCUUAACUCAUAUCCGUCUUUUGAUCUCAAUCCCAAAUGUCUUCGGUGUACAGCACAAACAAAUGAAUUGGCCUUUCUCUUCUAGUAGUUUCAGAGGGGACUGUAACACUCCUCAAAAAGCGAACCAUUUCCCAACGCUUCCCAUAACUUCCCAUGCUCCGGCAUGAAUAAUGCCUCUCAGAACUGCUGUCGAUUCUGCCUGAGCUUCCGCUACAUAUUUAUCCAGCCUUGUAUGAGAAACAUAGAAAAAGUCAUAUCCGCAAUCCAAAAGAUCCACAGACAUAUCAUUUACAGUACAAACCCUGUAGCUUUAUAUGUUUAUGUUUUCUUCCUUUCUGUCACGUGACUACAAACUCCCGUCCCUGGAAGUCUAGCGACUCAUGGUCUAGAGUUCAAACCGUGCCAUUGUUCCACUUCAUGAAAAAUGGAUAUAGCAAACAGAAAAUGGAAUCUUUCGCCAAGGAAAGCUGUAUUUUUAUUUUUUUUAUUUCUUCUCCAACGUGCAUUCAUUUGUCUGGGGUUUUUCCUCAUUAUGGCAGGUGCCAAGCAGGUCAGGCAAAGAACUUUGAAUUCUUGAAUGUUAAAAAUGGUUGCUUUUUAAUUGGAGCCAAGUGUGUACAUUUGAUGUGAAGUUAUAGCUUACUCAUGACCAUACGAUUGUAAGUGAGGAAUGAAACACGUGGGGGCAUGCUGUUAUAGGAAAAUAAUAAAGGAUGGGAUGGUGUGAUGUGACCAGAAUGGUACAGGGUGAUGAUUAUUUUCCAGCAACGGCUCGUCCUGAAGUGUUUUAUACUACAGCGAUUUACCAACACUAACAAUUUUUCUAUUUAUUAAAGAACGAUACGUCAUCUUUUUAUUCUUUUACAGGUGAGGUCAUAAGUUUAUGUACGCCUUGCAGAAUCUGCAAAAUGUUAAUAAUGAAAAAAAGAGGAAUCAUUAACAUUACAUUUUUUUAAUUUAGUCCUGCGCUGAGUAAGAUAUUUCACAUAACAGAUGUUUACAUAUAGUCCACAAGACAUAAUAAUAACCCAAUUUACACAAAUGAACCAGUUCAAUAGUUUACAUUCGCUUGAUUCUUAAUAUUGUGUGUCGUUACCUGGAUGAUCAACUGUUUUUGAUGGUUUGUGAUAGUUAGAGUCGCUUGUUUGUCCUGAGCAGUUAAACUGCCCACUGUUCUUCAAAAAAAUCCUCCAGGUCCGGAGCAUUGUUUGCUUUUCCAGCAUCUCUUGCAUAUUUUAUGGUUUUCCAACAGUGUUUCCUAAGUAUGAUGUUGAGCUCCAUCUUUUCACACUGAGGACAAACACGACUAUUACAAAAGGUGCAAACAUUCACUGAUGCUCAAGAAGGAAACACGAUACAUUAAGAGCCAGGGGUGUGUAAACUUUUGAACAGGUUGAUCAGUGUAAAUUGCUAUUAUUUUGUUUAAAGCUCUUAUUUAUUUUCAUUUAGUACUGCCCGUCAGACACUAAAUAAGAUAUUUACAUGUUUUCCAAAAGACAAAAUAACAUCAAUUGACACCGAUUAUCCUGUUCAAAAGUUUAACCCCCCCCCGGCUCUUAAUGUAUCGUGUUGCCUUCUUGCGAAUCAGUGAACGUUUGCAUUGUAUAGUUAUCUUUAGAACAUCUGCGAAAAAAGUAAGUUCAUUAGUUCGUUAUAAAGUAGCGUCUACAUUUCCUUGGGAAUCCUGAAUGCUGUGGCAUUUUAGUAAUUUACAUAAAAUCUUUUUUAUGGAGAUGUAUAUUUUUGAGAUUUGUAAUUAAGAUACAGGUUGUUGUUGUUGUUGUUGUUUUUUUUUUUUUAAAUCUCAAAACCGCAACCCGUAAUUCAGAAUUUUUAUGUUUUUCUUAACGACAAAUCUUAACCCAGCAAGUUCAAAAUGAAGAAAAACAUGUACGUUUAUUAAAUACAGCUCAUAUUUAAUGUGACUUGUAUUGAAAAGGAAACUAUUCGAAUGUACAAAAUCCAUAUUCGAAUACUUUCAACGCUACAGCUUUACCUCUGACUGUUCCAACGCACUGACACUGGAGACGCCUUCCGUAAAUGCAAAAUAAAAAUCUCCUCACAGAAAACUUCCCCACACAAUUUUUAAAAAUUGAUUUAUGUACAAUGUCGUCUAAAUUGUUACUAUAGAAACGGUAGCGUAUGAUAAUGUAUUAAUCAACACCUUCUGACCAAUCAGGUUUGAGAAUUCAGCAGGGCUGUGGUAUAAAUCUAUUUAUCUUCUUUUUUCUUUUGCGCUCGGCUAUACUCGGACUAUUCAGUUUAAUUCCAGUCCCAACCAUUGCGAAAGCAAGCGCAGCUAUUACUAGGUUUAUACUGACGGCCGCUUACAGAGCUGAUGUCAUGGCGGCUUUGCUCGUCUCGUCUGAAUAAUGCAUUGUGUGAACAUUCAGUCCCAUUAUAUAUCUGCUCUAUAACGUUUAAUAGUUAUAUGGAACGUAAAGGGGUUGUAAUUUCUAACAGAUGCUGAACAGUCUGGAAGGGAUUGCAGUGUUGUUCCUCGUGUCCCAGCAGGGAGGAUUUCAAGAAACGUAACGUUGCCUUCGCUGUGUAUCGUGUCAUACCAGUCUGCAGGCUAAAGGUGUAUGAUUCUUGGAUGAAGCCUGAGACUGCACUGCCGUGUUUUUCGGUGAGCUCACUCCAAUAGAGCGCCAUUGUUCCGUAUUCUUUAUUGCUUGAGCGAAGAAAUAUAAUGAGAUGUAACCGCGUAUUAUAGAAGGAUAAUUUAUUAAACUGUUCGUUAAAGGUAAGAAUCAUCUGCGAGAUGAGAAACGAUAUUUAUCUUAGGUAUCUGAUGUUUGUCGGGAAAAGCCCCUUUUUAUUCAUCAGAUUGACUCUGGCUCGCUGCCCGGACGCUGCUUCGUCAAGCAUGCAUAUUACUCAGCAAACACUCAGGUGGUGGUGACAGGAAAGCCCGGCCUUCUCGCCUCCGUUUGUCUGUACGAGGAAACGCUUUUCUGUCUCCUCAACUACACACAGAAGCUCCUGUUAAACCCAGAGGUUUGAUCCUUGAUCCUUCUCGACACCUUUUUUUUGUUUGUGUUGUUUUGUUUUGUUCCUUUUGUCUGUUACUGAAAAAUCUCCUGAGGGUUUAGUGCGAGGCUAAUGAAAAGUGACAGGACUGUUAGCCUGAUGGCUCCGGUUAGUGACCGCUGAGAUUAUGAGACGUAUAAAUGUCCUUUCCCUUCAUAAAGCCUUCUCUACUCACUUGGACACCAAAUUGCACAAGAUCGCUCUCUUUGGAUAGAGCUAGGUGUAAUAAUAAACUGAGGAAAUGGAUCAUUUUGCCUCAUUUCAUGCUGGAAAUAUUCACAAGAGAAGGUGAGUUAUUAUCGUAUUUGAAUCAAUAUGAAGAACUCCGUCUGGGUCCAGUAGAAGGAAAAAUGCCACACAAGGCGUCAGUGCUUAUGAUCGAGAGACCCUACACAUCACAGUUUCACCGAUACUGAAAUUAUGGCUAUGCAAAACCAACAACUAAUAUUAAUAAAAAAUAAUUUGAUAAUAAAAAUAUUUUGCAGCCAAAUUUGAAGGUGCUUGGAGUCGAAAAAAGAAUUGACUCAUUGAUUCAGAAACUAAGAGUCCCAAAAGUACCAAAGUUUCUGAAUCAAUGAGUCAAUUCUUUUUUCGAAAAUUCCAAAAUUCCACACGCAGAAAAUGGUUCUCCUCAGGUAAACACGGCAAACAAAAUGAAUUGAGGAUCCAAGUGUUUCAGUUAGCGAGUCAGUGAAUGUUGGCCUUUAUUUUAAAUAGGAUUUUGAUGGAAUUGAACAAAUCAGGGUUUAAAAUGCAAUUUCAGACCCUCAGACAGAUAGUUGGAGAAAAAGUAGAUGGAAGCUUUGAAAAAAGUUUUUUUACGUAAAUAUUUUUGAUAUUUAGUAUUUUUUUUUAUUAAAAAAAGGGAUCUUUAAAAUAAUGAGUGCUAGUUAGUGCUGAUCAAACAUGCACAUGGUAGCAGCAAAUGAUGAGACAAUAAUAAUAAUAAUAAUAAUAAUAAUAAUAAUAAUAAUAAUAAAUAGUCCAGUAAUAAUUAAAUAAAUAAUAGCACUGAUGGAAAGGAUAAAAAUAAUAAUACAAAGUUUUAACAAGUCUAAUUAAAGUGUGUAAAAAUGGAAUGCAAGCAGAAUAAUUCUUAAAAUUAGUUAUAUAAUUAAAUAAUUGUUAAAGUUAGCAAACUCUAAUGAACUGAUAUCAGGUUUUUUUUUCUUUAUCCAGCUGAUCACUUUAUAUUUGAUAUAUUUGAUUCCACGCUGCUAAAGUCAGUGUGCAUUAGCGAACAUUUCAGGUCAUACAGUGACACCUGUCCCUACAUGAAGAACACCCAGGACUCUUGCCUCAUACUCUUUAAGUUCACACACUCCUCAGGAACAUGCGCACACACACACACACACACACAAGAGCACUGGCGAAGGCGCAACACUGUAAACAUUUGGAGGUCUGGACGGUAAACAGAGAGCUGUGUGUAAGGAGUUUGUAGCCAGGCAUCUGCUGAGACGUGUCAGGGGUUUGAGCGCUGGACGAUCCGCAGUCCUUGAUUCAUCAUCAGGAGUGCUCCACUAAAACGCAUAGCGAGCGUGCUUCUCUCCUCGGCCUUGGCUUGCUGCUUUGUUGGCGGCGUGUUCGCUGCUGACUUGUCGAAUCUUCCUUUGGGAAUGUCUCACACUCAAGUAUUCAGAAGCAUUAAGAUGACUGGUGGUAAAAAGUGAGGAUAAUCCGUCUGACAUAACACUAGCUGUCCAUACUACCUUUCAGCUUUGUUAUAAAUGACUAGUUCAUCAUCUUAAAUGAAAGUAUUCACAUCUCCAAUCAGGGACUUUUAGCUCCACUCUUGAACUCGAUCGCCUCACACAUAUUCCUGUAACACACCAUCACAACAUCUAGUCAUGCCACACGACUUCAAAUCCUCAACUCCGAUUGAUCGGAAGACGUUGAUUCAUUUUCUCUAACAGCAGUAGUGCCGGCUGUAAGGCGAAUCGCAGGGUUACAUUAAUGCGCUCGGGACAUUUUCUGUUUAUUUACAUUUAUUUAAAAACUGUGGAAGGAGUCUCCAGUGUCAAUGCUUUGCAUCAGUCAGAGGUAAAGCUGUAACUUUACGUUUUCUUGUAUCUUCAGUACAGAGGAGUUAAUACUUUGCGGUUUCUCGGUAAUGAGACAAGCUGCGUUUUUUGAAUUAUCAACAUCGAGAGAGAGAGAGAAACAAAAAGAGGCCGUUGAUGUAAAGACUGUUUAUAGCUGCUCUAAUGGGAGAGAGAGCACAAACUCGUUUCAAAAUUGUUCUACAGCAUUAAAAGUAAAUGUAAAUCUUUUUAUUUUUUUAUUUUAAAAAAAAAAAUGUCAGUCUUCAACGAAUAAUAAUGAUUAUAUUAACAUUGUGGAAUGAGAUACGAAUCACUUCGGGAUGUGGUGCUAUAGGCAAAUUAACAAUGAAAAGAUUGUCAACAAUAACUCCGCUUCAUGUCAGGCUUCAUCACGUCACACACAGUGUUUUAUUCCUAACAUAAUGCUUGUGUUUUUGUCUCAGAAGAUUAGAUCGACCGAUUUGAUCUCUCAUCAUCUGAGACGGCACUGUCCGUAUCAAACCCCUGACCGGGAAGUUCACUUCCUGAUUCCACAGAGAGGAUAUUGGCGAUUAAUUUGCCAUCUUGCUGUAUUAAUAACGUUAGUAGGCAUAGGAAAUUAAAAUACUUUUUAUGUCGGUUUAAUUGAAAACUAUGAAAAUUACAUGCUAGUAAUACAUGGCAUCUUACUUUAUAAAACCAGAUCUAUCAGGAAAAUUACAAAAAUCAGCUGAUGUUUUUCUAAUCUCCAACUGUCCAGUUUAGGUGAGUCUGUGCCCAUGAUAGCCUCAGGUCCUUGUUCCUGGCUGACAAGAGUGGAGCCCGAUGUGGUGUUCUGCUCUUGCAUCUCAAGGUUUUGAGAUACUUUUCUCUUCGCCAAGGUUGUACAGACUGGUUAUUUGAGUUACCAUAGUUACUUCCUAGCCUUCCACAGCUCCUAACAGUCUGGCCAUUCUGUUGUGACCCGCUCACUGGAUGUUUUUUGUUUUUCACACCAUUCUGUGUAAACUCUACAGACGGUUGUGUGUGCAAAAUCCCAGAUCAUCACAUUUCAUCCCUCAUUCUGAUGUUUGAUGUGAGCUCUGCUGUCACCUGUAUGUGAAAGAUUUUAGGCAUCGUGCUGCCUCCACAUGAUUGGCUGAUUGGAUAAUUGCUUAAAUGGGCUGGGUUACAGACAUAUGUUCCUAUUAAAGCGGUCAGUGAGUGUGUAUAAUCACUUGUGCUGUAUGCGUGUUAUAUGACCACCCACGAAUAAACAUUUAAAAUUGUCAUAAAAUAUUUCAGGGGGUUCAAACCCGAAAUGUAAACGCCCCACCCCCCUCCCCGAAAAAAAAAUUCCCUCACAUGGUGUACAGGAGAAUUUUCAAAACAUGCCAAAUCACCGGAGGAUUUUGGAUUGUAAGCACUGGAAUAUUCAUUCGAUCUGUGUACUGCGCUCUCCUCGUAAACUCAGCCCUGUUUUUAUUUAUUUAUUGCUUUAUUUUGUUUUUAAGUGCAGGAAUGUAGUAAUAGAGAUAGCAUUUUCAAGGUUGUUGGAAUGUGCCAGAAAAGCAUUACAGUUCAUAUGUGUCACAUUAAUGCAGAUUACAGCGCUCCUAAAGUGUGGAAAAAAAUAAACAAACACCAAUAAACUCAUAAUGAUACUCUUUCUGACUCCCUUUAACACUGUUCAGCUUCAAAUGAACAACAAAGCUUUUCAUGGCAACGUGCGUCAUUUGGUUACAUUAACUAUAUGGUGGUUUAUUUGCCUCGAUUUCACUCUUUCUUUCUUAUUAAAUUAAGUCAUAUUUCCAAUAGAGCCGGUAAUUUUGGGCUGCUCUGCAUCCUUGACUGCGUAUGUAGUCGUUAAACGUUUCUCUGCAUUGCCUGUCCUGCAUCGUGCUCAGGAGCAGGCUUAUUUUGCUCUCACAAGUGUCAGUUUGAGUGAGUCGUUUUUUUUUUUUUAAUGGAAUAAUAUAGGUUUAUAUGUUAAUCAGUGCUUCUCCAUCUUAUUAUUAUUAUUAUUAUUAUUAUUAUUAUUAUUAUUAUUAUUAUUUUUAAUGUCAGAUGUGGUAAUUAUUACUUUUAUCAUAUCAGUACAAACGUUUCUUACAGAAUGGGACAGGUGGAUUGAAUUAGCUCUCCGGUCUGGGUAAUGUUUAGUGACAUUAAGGUAAUCGUUUGUUGAGUUGCUCGUUAAUUGGGCGGUAAGCUUCAAUUACAUCACGCUUAGGCUUUGUAGAGACACUGUGUCUUUUCACUGUGUGCCAGAGACAGAGUGGCACCGUGAUCAAUGGACCUGCGUCAUCGUCUUAAAACACAUUUCCCAUCCUGUUAUGAAGAAAUGGUCACUUAUUGAUUUGUUUUUGUCUUAUCCUAAUGGUCCAGUGAUAGCGCCGGUGAUCUGACACCAUCCACCUUAUCCUUUAAGCCCUUUUUUGGUUACUGAUCCAAAUCUUGAACUCAAGCAAGGAAUUCUCUGGGGGUUAUGAGGGUAGUCUGUGAAUUGAUUAGUGGUAGCAUUGUUGCCUUACAGAUCCAGGGUCUGUGGUUCGAUCCUGAGCUCCGAGAAAACAGCCCAGUGAGUCUCCUUGUGGGUUUCCUCUGGGUUCUCCGGUUUCCUCCCACCUCCUAAAAAAAUUCCGGUAGGUGAACUAUACGAAAUUGCCUCUAGGGGUGAAUGUUUGUGUGCACGGUGCCACGUGAUAGACUGUUGUUCCAUUCACUGUGUAUUCCCACCUCAUAAACAGUGACCCUAGGAUAGCCUUCGGAUCCGCCACCAUCCGUGCGCUUACUGAGAAUGAACAAAUGGUGAAAUUAGAUGUGUGUGUGUGGGACUGUUGUUUACUCUACAUUAGUUACUUAGGAAUUAAUUCAUUAGUAAUUAGUCAUUUAAUCUAGCAUGCCCCUGACCAGAGUAAAGCAGUUACAGAUGAUGCAUGAAUAAAAGCAGUAAAUGCGUCACGCAGGACCUCAUGAGCACCAUAUACACUGUUAAUAAAGGUGGUCUUUCUUUGUUCCACAAGCUUCAUAUCUGACUGCUCAUCACUGUGAAAAAAUAAAAAUAAAAAAUAAAACCCCCCUUGCGCCCACAGUUUUUGUUUUGUCCUGCGGGAUCCCAGUAAAUGUAUAUACAUGUUUGUAGACACCUGACCAUCACACCCAUUGUUGUGCUUGUUGAACAUCACAUUCCAGAUUUAUUGCCUCCACUCUUCUGGGAAGGCUUUCCACUAGAUUUUGGGGCGUGGCUGUGGGGAUUCGUGUUCAUUCAGCUCCAAGAGCAUUAGUGAGGUCCGGAGCUGAUGUUAAUGAUAAUGAUAAUGAGUCUUUAUUGAUCACAUAUACAUAUGCGCAGUGAAAUUCUUUUCUUCACAUACCCCAGCAUGUCAGGAAGCUGGGGUCAGAGUGCAGGGUCAGCCAAUGUUGGGUGAGAAGGCUCCAGUUCCAGUUCAUCCCAAAGGUGUUCAGUGGGGUUGAGGUCAGGGCUCUGUGCAGGACACUCGAGUUCUCCUACACCAAUCUUAAGAAACCAUGUCUUCAUGGAGCUCACUUUGUGCACAGGAGCAUUGUCAUGCUGGAACAGGUUUGAGUUCCUGUGAAGGGAGAUUGUAAUGCUACAGCAUACAUAGAUAUUUUGUUCAACUGUGUGCUUCCAAAUGUGUGAUUGUCAGGUGUCCUCAUAUACUUUUCUCCAUAUAGUGUACAGUAUAUGGCAGUGUUGCUUGUGUAUCUCAUUAAGCAUGAAAGACUGCAGGUUUAUUUCAAAAUAGAAGCAAGUGACUCAGUUUUUGUUUAAAAAAAAAAAAAAAGGAAGUGACUUUUGAGGACAAACUUGAUGAUCAGAUGCCACAAAAAGGAUUUGAGCUGUUUCUGUGGUUGGAUUUCAAAUCAUAUUGAGAACGUAGUGCACUAAUCAUGUUCUACAACACCAGGAUGUUAUACCCUGUGUAGGGAGCGUACAUGGUGAAAACAGUAAGAAGCCAUUUGGGAUUUGGUCUAACGUGAAGAUGGUGGGUUGUACAUGGAUCACAGGUUAGAAAUGUAAGCAACCAUUGUAGGAAAUCAUUACUUUGGGUAACUAUGACUGAUAUGAACAAAUCUGAAAUGCUAAAUUGUGAAGUUGCACCAAAAUCCAUCUGAAACAGCAAGACAGGCUUAGUGGUUAGCACGUUCGCCUCACACCGCCAGGGUUGGGGUUCGAUUCCCGUGGCUCUGUGUGUGCGGAGUUUGCAUGUUCUCCCUGUGCUGCGGGGUUUCCUCCGGGUGCUCCGGUUUCCUCCCCCAGUCCAAAGACAUGCAUGGUAGGCUGAUUGGCGUGUCUAAAGUGUCCGUAGUGUAUGAAUGGAUGUGUGAAUGUGUGUGUGAUUGUGUGCCCUGCGAUGGACUGGCACCCUUGGUCUGGCACCCUGUCCAGGGUGUACCACGCCUUGUGCCCGAUGCUCCCUGGGAUAGACUCCAGGUUCCCCGCGACCCUGAAAAGGAGUAAGCGGUUGAAGAUGGAUGGAUGGAUGGAUGGAUGGACAACAAGAGGACGUUUGAAAAGGUUUGAACGAUACUUUGGCAGAGAAAUUUUACACUGUUACUGAGGAACUUCGUGCCAUACUGUUCAGUAGAGAAGUCGCUCUAGCCAGAGAUGGUUGUGUUUGCCCAAUCGUGUAGUACCUGGACGUAAAAGGUAGCCAAAUUCAGCUUGUGUACACUUAUGGUUAUAGUACAGGAUAAUGGAAACAUGGAUAAAACGUGGCAUCGAGGAUUGUGCUGGCGUUUAAGUGCUAUACGAAUGCUGCUCUUCCAUCCACGUUCUUCAAAGCUAAAGAUGGACGGAGACCGUAAGUGAUUUAGUCUGAAAAUUUCCCCCGUUUUCUCAGAGGGCCGUGCUCUCCAGCAGAUAGAGAUAUGGCUUCCUGUUACAUAAUCCUCUGCUCUUAUAAAUUUUGACUUCAUUUUGUGUUUCCUGUGUGUGUGUGUGUGUGUGUGUGUGUGUGUGUGUGUGUGCUUGCUCUUGCUUCACUCUGGGCCUCAAAGCGGCUGGACAUGGAGACCUAAAAGAAAGUGGAAUGGAGGUCCAAAACCCUGCUUCUUUCUCCUGCUUCACUUCAUGCCCCUCAUGUUUGUUUCAUUUUCAUUCUUACUUAAUGCAAAAAAAAUAAAAAUAUUAAACGAAUAUUUCUACCUCACAUUUUUUAAAUCCAUGAAAGGAGCAGGAAUUAGCAGGAUGAAUUACCUGGACUACAAUUUAUAGUUUUUCAGUACCGUAAAAAAAGAUCUCUGUUAAUUAGCCGAUAGCAGGCUAAUAAUUAAAACACUUGUUUAUUUGUUUGUUUUGUUGAAGACCACCAUUUGGAAUCCACCUCAAUCCUGUUAUUUCUAAUGUUCUAAAAGUCCCUGUCAUCUUGUAUUCAUGAUAUGAAUUAGGAUUAGUAAUAUUUGUACGUCCUCUAGCCCCGUACCUCUAAACACAGAACUUGAAGUGACUUCUUUCCUGCUAACUUGCUAAACCACAGUCAGAACAGCAUAUAGCUAGCAUCUUUAGCAGUUGCACUUAGACAUGUAAAGCGCUGUAAAAUUAGCCGUUGAUUAGCCGGUGGCUACCAUGGUGCCAUCAGUGUGAUCGUGAGAUUCUAAACCUGAGGACUUAAAGCUAAUUCUAAAUCACGUGAUCCAUAAUCUUAUGCUAAGCAACAUUGUUAACGUUGCUUUAGACACGCCAGUGCCUACACCAUUCUGAGCAACCUUUACGUUAAUUAAUUCUAUUUACAAAAAAUAAAAAGAUCUAUGUUUUUAAAUGUACGUUUGGUCGAUGUUUUUAAUACCACAGGAGACAUGAAUUCUCAAUUUUGAUUAGUCGGAAGCUUGUUUAAUUUCCUAUAACAGCAGUUUUUGGGCUCCAAUUCAAAUCACAGGUUUACGUUAGGUUUAAUGCACUCGUUUUAAUCUGUUAUCGUUUCUAUAGUAACAGUUUUUCUUUAGUAACACCUCUAUAUAAUGUAAGUGCUGUUAUUUAACGAAGAAAGCGUAAAGUCGUCGAUAUGCUGAGGUUUUCUGUGAGGAGAUGUUUAUUUAACAUGUAUGGAAGGAGCCUCCAGUUUUGCUGAUGGUCCACAUCAUUAAACGUAACUAUAAAUGGAUAAAAAAAAAGCAUGAUGUGUUGUUUAUUAAUAAAUAAUAAUAAUAAAAAAAAACUUUACAGAUGUCGAAUUUCUGUGGUGGAAGAGGAAUAAAACACUUUGGGAUGUUCUGAUUAUUUUCCCAUAAUAGUGUGCCCUGAAGUGUUUUGUGCUGUCCCUUACUUAGGUUACAUCUUCAGUAGAACAAAAUACAGUGUUUAAUAUUUGACACUUUAAUUGAACCAGUGAUACUAAACGGUUGUUGAUACACCCAUAUAACUGCAACAAUGCGUGAACGUGAACGUUCCAGUUUCCUGUGCAGAAUUCCAGACUGAUAGAGUUGCUUCAUUUCAUCCAUUCGUCUUCUGCACUCAGGGACUGAAAGCCCAGCUGGUUUUGCUUGUUUUGUGAGCGAUCGUUUGUGAACAUCUCCCUGCAUUCGUUGAGAAGCGUCUCCACUAAACGGGACCUGUCCUCCAGAAGCGAUAAAGGAUUUUUUGGACAUGAAAAGGUCCAUGCAUGUCUGCAUGUCCCAUCUUCAGGGAUUUCCUUAAGACUUUUCCCUUAUGGAAAAAUCAGAGUUGAACUCCAUGCAUAACUGUGUUUCGAAGACACCCUCCGCGCCUCCCCCCAGUCCCGCUUUUUUUUUCCCCCAAAUGGCCUACCAUUCAGGAAACGCCUGUAUUUUUUGUGGGUUAAUCAUUUGUGUUUAUCAGGGGUUAUACAGUAUGCAAUGCCAACUCCUACAGCAAUCGCACUCAUUCCUUGCAUACAGUGAAACCACUAUACGACACUUAUCAGCUCUGAUCAGCUCAUUAUUUUACACUCAAUAAGGUUUCGUGGGAAAAAAGAACCUGACUGGGUGCCAAGCACCCUGAACCCUAAACAUCUGCCCUAACCGGUACAAAACUGUGUGUGUGUGUGUGUGUGUGUGUGUGUGUGUGUGUGUGUGUGUGUCUGUCUAUGCGGCUAGACGUAAAAGGAUUCUGUUGAAUUCUCAUGAAAGCGUCUGUUAUGCCGCAUUACGCAGGAAAACUCAUUUCCAUUGACCGUAAAUACAGCAAGCACAUGCGUCUCUCAAUGCUGAAGACCUUUGGUCAAUUACAUGCAGUCUUGUUCCUUCGAAAUUCCUUCGACGAGGACCUCGUGAAUGGGCACUCAGUGCCCGAGCGCACAAGGCACACUCUCACUAAGCCGCCUGCCAACUGAGUUCGCAGUGAGAAAUAUCUUCUGGCUGGAAAAUUAAAAUGCAAAAGGUUAUAAAAGAAAGCGUAUGAGCCGACAGAAAGGUCAGAGAAGAACGUGCAGGAGAAAGUAAUGAGAAAAGGUUGCAGGAAAAAAAAAACAACAACCUCUCUCCUACCCUGUAGUACCAAGAAAUUCCUAUAGAUGGGGUGCUGCAUUCGCUGUUCGGUGCCAACGAGGGACGACUGAACCUCGUCAUACAUGAGAGGAGUCACUCUGUGACCCUGUAGGUCUGGAAUUUAACACAAUUUGGUAAUUCCCCUACUCACACACAUCUGAUUAAACUUGUAAGUUCAGGAACAUGUUCAGUAGGUGUGUUUGUAACAGGGAAAUCACCUAACUGGUGUGGUGACAUAAAGGACAGCUGAUUGAACAACUGAUUGAAAGAUUCUUAUUUUUUUUUUGAACACCGUGUACAUUUCUGCUGUAGUCAGCUACAAUUUAAGCAGCACAGCAAACAAUAAUCCUUACUUUUUUUUUUCAUUUCCCUCCAUUUUUCUCCCUAAUUUGGUCAAAUUCUGACACACCUGCCAGCGCUCGUGAAGUGAACCUCCACGUCGGUUCAAACUGCUGCGCCACAGGGAAGAGUAAUACACUGGCCAGAAAACGAUAUCUGCCCUCUUCUGCAUAGAUGAGUUCAUAAGCUGCGUUUACAUGGACAACAAUAAUCCACUCUUAAUCCGAUUAAGACCAUACUCUAAUUAAGAAUCUACCAUGUAAACACCAAUUUUUACUUACCUUAAUCUAAUUAAGGUCAUAAUCGAAGUAAGCAAUAAUCUAAUUAAGACAGGUGGCGUACUCCUGUUUUAGUCGCAUUAUGAACGUUUAUUA
ensembl:lncRNA